GCAUGGAGAUGUAUUUUAAGUUUAGUUUUCUGGGAAAUGAAAAGAAAAUUUUCAAAGGUUUGGCCAAACAUUGCCACUGAUGAAGUUCAUUUUAAAAUUACAGGUAUCCCCUACAGUCAGUGUUACGCCAUUUCACUUUUAUAAAAGGCCUAGGGUAGUACCUAUUUUUGUAACUGAAAGAAAUCUAAAGAGGACUUUCACUUUUACAAAAAAAAAG